GACGAACGCUGGCGGCGUGCUUAACACAUGCAAGUCGAACGGUAAGGCCCUUCGGGGUACACGAGUGGCGAACGGGUGAGUAACACGUGGGUGAUCUGCCCUACACUUCGGGAUAAGCCUGGGAAACUGGGUCUAAUACCGGAUAGGACCACUGCCUGCAUGGGUGGUGGUGGAAAGCUUUUGCGGUGUGGGAUGGGCCCGCGGCCUAUCAGCUUGUUGGUGGGGUGAUGGCCUACCAAGGCGACGACGGGUAGCCGGCCUGAGAGGGUGACCGGCCACACUGGGACUGGGAGACUGCCCAGACUCCUACGGGAGGCAGCAGUGGGGAAUAUUGCACAAUGGGCGCAAGCCUGAUGCAGCGACGCCGCGUGAGGGAUGACGGCCUUCGGGUUGUAAACCUCUUUCAGCACCGACGAAGCGCAAGUGACGGUAGGUGCAGAAGAAGGACCGGCCAACUACGUGCCAGCCGCCGCGGUAA
rnacentral:rRNA from 1 species